GAUCCUGGCUCAGAUUGAACGCUGGCGGCAGGCCUAACACAUGCAAGUCGAACGGUAACAGGAAACAGCUUGCUGUUUCGCUGACGAGUGGCGGACGGGUGAGUAAUGUCUGGGAAACUGCCUGAUGGAGGGGGAUAACUACUGGAAACGGUAGCUAAUACCGCAUAACGUCGCAAGACCAAAGAGGGGGACCUUCGGGCCGUCCUUGUCCGAACUCGGAGUAGUGUCCCACGAUGGGAGUUAGUCUAGUAGGUGGGGUAACGGG
rnacentral:rRNA from 1 species